AACGAACGCUGGCGGCAGGCUUAACACAUGCAAGUCGAGCGCCCCGCAAGGGGAGCGGCAGACGGGUGAGUAACGCGUGGGAAUCUACCCAUCUCUACGGAAUAACGCAUGGAAACGUGUGCUAAUACCGUAUACGUCCUUCGGGAGAAAGAUUUAUCGGAGAUGGAUGAGCCCGCGUUGGAUUAGCUAGUUGGUGGGGUAAAGGCCUUCCAAGGCGACGAUCCAUAGCUGGUCUGAAAGGAUGAUCAGCCACACUGGGACUGAGACACGGCCCAGACUCCUACGGGAGGCAGCAGUGGGGAAUAUUGGACAAUGGGCGCAAGCCUGAUCCAGCCAUGCCGCGUGAGUGAUGAAGGCCCUAGGGUUGUAAAGCUCUUUCACCGGUGAAGAUAAUGACGGUAACCGGAGAAGAAGCCCCGGCUAACUUCGUGCCAGCAGCCGCCGCAGUAA
rnacentral:rRNA from 1 species